rnacentral:rRNA from 1 species
UACGUAGGUGGCAAGCGUUGUCCGGAUUUACUGGGCGUAAAGAGCGCGCAGGCGGUCGUUCAAGUCGCGUGUGAAAGCCCCCGGCUCAACUGGGGAGGGUCACGCGAUACUGAUCGACUCGAAGGCAGGAGAGGGUAGUGGAAUUCCCGGUGUAGUGGUGAAAUUCGUAGAUAUCGGGAAGAACACCAGUGGCGAAGGCGCUCUACUGGGCCACAACUGACGCUGAGGGACGAAAGCUAGGGGAGCGAAAGGG